rnacentral:rRNA from 1 species
CGGCAGGCCUAACACAUGCAAGUCGAGCGGAUGAAGGGAGCUUGCUCCUGGAUUCAGCGGCGGACGGGUGAGUAAUGCCUAGGAAUCUGCCUGGUAGUGGGGGAUAACGUCCGGAAACGGGCGCUAAUACCGCAUACGUCCUGAGGGAGAAAGUGGGGGAUCUUCGGACCUCACGCUAUCAGAUGAGCCUAGGUCGGAUUAGCUAGUUGGUGGGGUAAAGGCCUACCAAGGCGACGAUCCGUAACUGGUCUGAGAGGAUGAUCAGUCACACUGGAACUGAGACACGGUCCAGACUCCUACGGGAGGCAGCAGUGGGGAAUAUUGGACAAUGGGCGAAAGCCUGAUCCAGCCAUGCCGCGUGUGUGAAGAAGGUCUUCGGAUUGUAAAGCACUUUAAGUUGGGAGGAAGGGCAGUAAGUUAAUACCUUGCUGUUUUGACGUUACCAACAGAAUAAGCACCGGCUAACUUCGUGCCAGCAGCCGCGGUAAUACGAAGGGUGCAAGCGUUAAUCGGAAUUACUGGGCGUAAAGCGCGCGUAGGUGGUUCAGCAAGUUGGAUGUGAAAUCCCCGGGCUCAACCUGGGAACUGCAUCCAAAACUACUGAGCUAGAGUACGGUAGAGGGUGGUGGAAUUUCCUGUGUAGCGGUGAAAUGCGUAGAUAUAGGAAGGAACAC